CCUACGGGUGGCAGCAGUGGGGAAUAUUGCACAAUGGGGGAAACCCUGAUGCAGCGACGCCGCGUGAGUGAAGAAGUAAUUCGUUAUGUAAAGCUCUAUCAGCAGGGAAGAAAAUGACGGUACCUGAGUAAGACGCCCCGGCUAACUACGUGCCAGCAGCCGCGGUAAUACGUAGGGGGCAAGCGUAAUCCGGAUUUGCUGGGUGUAAAGGGAAGUUAGACGGCAGAGCAAGUCGGGAGGGAAAGGCGGGGGCUCAACCCCCGGAGUGCUGUGGAAACUGUACGGCUGGAGUGCAGGAGAGGUAAGUGGAAUGCCUGGUGUAGCGGUGAAAUGCGUAGAUAUUAGGAGGAACACCGGUGGCGAAGGCGGCUUACUGGACUGUAACUGACGUUGAGGCACGAAAGCGUGGGGAGCAAACAGGAUUAGAUACCCUUGUAGUC
rnacentral:rRNA from 1 species